rnacentral:tRNA from 1 species
CGACAUGAAGCUCAAUCAGCAGAGCGCCGGGCUAGGGACCCGGAGGGUGCGGGUGCGACUCCCGCCAUGUCGG